GGAAUAUUGGGCAAUGGAGGGAACUCUGACCCAGCGACGCCGCGUGCGGGAUGAAGGCCUUCGGGUUGUAAACCGCUUUCAGCAAGGAAGAAGCGAAAGUGACGGUACUUGCAGAAGAAGCACCGGCUAACUAUGUGCCAGCAGCCGCGGUAAUACAUAGGGUGCAAGCGUUGUCCGGAAUUAUUGGGCGUAAAGAGCUCGUAGGUGGUUCGUCACGUCGGACGUGAAAAUCUGGGGCUUAACCCCAGACCUGCAUUCGAUACGGGCGAGCUAGAGUGUGGUAGGGGAGACUGGAAUUCCUGGUGUAGCGGUGGAAUGCGCAGAUAUCAGGAGGAACACCAAUGGCGAAGGCAGGUCUCUGGGCCAUUACUGACACUGAGGAGCGAAAGCGUGGGGAGCGAACAGGAUUAGAUACCCUGGUAGUCCACGCCGUAAACGGUGGGCACUAGUUGUGGGAACCUUCCACGGUUUCUGCGACGCAGCUAACGCAUUAAGUGCCCCGCCUGGGGAGUACGAUCGCAAGAUUAAAACUCAAAUGAAUUGACGG
rnacentral:rRNA from 1 species